UGAACGCCUCUAAGUCAGAAUCCUAGCUAGCAACCGGCGCUCUCGCCCGUCGUUCGCCUCCCGACCCACAGUAGGGGCCUUCGGCCCCCAUGGGCUCGUGUCGCCGGUGUAGCCCCCGCGGUGGUAUAGCCACGGGUGGCCAUCGGGAAGUGAAAUUCCGCACGGACGACGGGCCGAAUCCUUUGCAGACGACUUAAAUUG
rnacentral:rRNA from 1 species